UCCAUUGAGGGGCGCUGCGACGGUACGCAUAGGCGUUCCUGCCAGGCUCGAUGGGAUGGAUCAUACUACUGUGCAACGGCGCCCGUUCAUC
rnacentral:ncRNA from 2 species